AAUUGAUAACAUAAGGGAAAAUAAUGAUAUUACCUUAUUAUUAGUGUCGUCCAAAUCUGGUGCCAGAAGACUCGGUAAGGCCAGAGACACAAACGUUAAUCGUCUUAAUCAGGCGUAAAGGGUUUGUAGGCAGCUUUAAAAUUUACUUAUAAAAAAAUAAAUAAUAAGUAAAAAAUAAAAGCUAGAAUCAAAUAGAGGAUAUAUGAAAGAAUGUUUAGAGUAGGUCUGAUAUCCUUAGAUACUAAGUAGAAUAUUAAAGGCGAAAGCUUUUUUCCAUUAAUGAUUGACGCUCAGAAACGAAGGUGAGGAUAGGAAAUAGGAUUAGAUACCCAGAAUACCCCUCUCUGUCAACGAUGAAUGGUAGUUAUUAGUAAAAAAUAUUAAUGGCAAUGUUAACACGAUAACCAUUCCGCCUUGCGAGUACGGUUG
rnacentral:rRNA from 1 species